UACGGAGGGUGCAAGCAUUAAUCGGAUUUACUGGGCGUAAAGGGCGCGUAGGCGGAUUGGCAAGUCAACUGUGAAAUUCCGGAGCUCAACUUCGGAGCUGCAGCUGAAACUGCCGAUCUAUAGAGGGAUGGCGGAGAAAACGGAAUUCCACAUGUAGCGGUGAAAUGCGUAGAUAUGUGGAAGAACACCAGUGGCGAAAGCGGUUUUCUAGCUAUUGCCUGACGCUGAGGCGCGAGAGCGUGGGGAGCAAACAGGAUUAGAAACCCCCGUAGUCC
rnacentral:rRNA from 1 species